rnacentral:rRNA from 1 species
GUGAGGAAUAUUGGACAAUGGAUGGAAAUCUGAUCCAGCCAUGCCGCGUGCAGGAAGACGGCCCUAUGGGUUGUAAACUGCUUUUAUACGGGAGCAAUAAGGUCUAUGCAUAGAUUGAUGAGAGUACCGUAUGAAUAAACAUCGGCUAACUCCGUGCCAGCAGCCGCGGUAAUACGGAGGAUGCGAGCGUUAUCCGGAUUUAUUGGGGUUAAAGGGUGCGUAGGCGGCUUUGUAAGUCAGCGGUGAAAUUUUGCAGCUUAACUGUAAAAGCGCCGUUGAUACUGUGAAGCUAGGAUUUGGUUGCUGUGGGCGGAAUGUGUGGUGUAGCGGUGAAAUGCAUAGAGAUCACACAGAAUAUCGAUUGCGAAGGCAGCUCACAAAGCCAAUAUUGACGCUGAGGCACGAAAGUGUGGGGAUCAAACAGGAUUAGAAACCCCGGUAGUCC